GUGGGGAAUUUUGGACAAUGGGGGAAACCCUGAUCCAGCGACGCCGCGUGAAGGAUGAAGGCCUUCGGGUUGUAAACUUCUUUUGGAGGGGACGAAUAAAUUGACGGUACCCUCAGAAAAAGCCACGGCUAACUUCGUGCCAGCAGCCGCGGUAAUACGUAGGUGGCGAGCGUUACUCGGAAUUACUAGGCGUAAAGCGUAUGUAGGCGGUUGUAUAAGUCUAUGGUGAAAUUUCCUGGCUCAACUGGGAAGGGACAUAGAUACUGUAUGGCUUGAGUGUUGGAGGGGGAGACGGAAUUCCUGGUGUAGCGGUGAAAUGCGUAGAUAUCAGGAGGAACACCGAUGGCGAAAGCAGUCUCCUGGCCAAAUACUGACGCUGAGGUACGAAAGCUAGGGUAGCAAACAGGAUUAGAAACCCUAGUAGUCC
rnacentral:rRNA from 1 species